ACCAGAAACAAUGACAUUCUGUACAGGAGGCCACGCACGGCUGGGAUAACCGCGCAGCAAGCAUGCACGCAAUCUUUAUAGCGUAUGGACCAGCCAUAAAAGAAGGAUACGUGACGAAACCAUUCCCCAACACAGAAGUCUAUAAUUUUAUUUGUGAACUAUUGGAGGUGAAGCCAGCUGCCAAUAAUGGAACGCUUGGCUCUCUUCACCAUCUGCUUGGGGAUCGUGAUCCGCUACCCCCACCAGAUGUUGGAUCUCCUGAUUAUGACGGUUGGCAAUUCCCUGCCGAUCAGACCGAGUAUGAGAUACGAAUAAAUUCCUCAGGCUGUGA